AGCGUACACGGUGGAUGCCCUGGCAGUCAGAGGCGAUGAAGGACGUGCUAAUCUGCGAUAAGCGUCGGUGAGGUGAUAUGAACCGUUAUAACCGGCGAUUUCCGAAUGGGGAAACCCAGUGUGUUUCGACACACUAUCAUUAACUGAAUCCAUAGGUUAAUGAGGCGAACCGGGGGAACUGAAACAUCUAAGUACCCCGAGGAAAAGAAAUCAACCGAGAUUCCCCCAGUAGCGGCGAGCGAACGGGGAGGAGCCCAGAGCCUGAAUCAGUGUGUGUGUUAGUGGAAGCGUCUGGAAAGGCGCGCGAUACAGGGUGACAGCCCCGUACACAAAAAUGCACAUAUUGUGAGCUCGAUGAGUAGGGCGGGACACGUGGUAUCCUGUCUGAAUAUGGGGGGACCAUCCUCCAAGGCUAAAUACUCCUGACUGACCGAUAGUGAACCAGUACCGUGAGGGAAAGGCGAAAAGAACCCCGGCGAGGGGAGUGAAAAAGAACCUGAAACCGUGUACGUACAAGCAGUGGGAGCCUCUUAAUGGGGUGACUGCGUACCUUUUGUAUAAUGGGUCAGCGACUUAUAUUCUGUAGCAAGGUUAACCGAAUAGGGGAGCCGAAGGGAAACCGAGUCUUAACUGGGCGUUAAGUUGCAGGGUAUAGACCCGAAACCCGGUGAUCUAGCCAUGGGCAGGUUGAAGGUUGGGUAACACUAACUGGAGGACCGAACCGACUAAUGUUGAAAAAUUAGCGGAUGACUUGUGGCUGGGGGUGAAAGGCCAAUCAAACCGGGAGAUAGCUGGUUCUCCCCGAAAGCUAUUUAGGUAGCGCCUCGUGAAUUCAUCUCCGGGGGUAGAGCACUGUUUCGGCAAGGGGGUCAUCCCGACUUACCAACCCGAUGCAAACUGCGAAUACCGGAGAAUGUUAUCACGGGAGACACACGGCGGGUGCUAACGUCCGUCGUGAAGAGGGAAACAACCCAGACCGCCAGCUAAGGUCCCAAAGUCAUGGUUAAGUGGGAAACGAUGUGGGAAGGCCCAGACAGCCAGGAUGUUGGCUUAGAAGCAGCCAUCAUUUAAAGAAAGCGUAAUAGCUCACUGGUCGAGUCGGCCUGCGCGGAAGAUGUAACGGGGCUAAACCAUGCACCGAAGCUGCGGCAGCGACACUAUGUGUUGUUGGGUAGGGGAGCGUUCUGUAAGCCUGUGAAGGUGUACUGUGAGGUAUGCUGGAGGUAUCAGAAGUGCGAAUGCUGACAUAAGUAACGAUAAAGCGGGUGAAAAGCCCGCUCGCCGGAAGACCAAGGGUUCCUGUCCAACGUUAAUCGGGGCAGGGUGAGUCGACCCCUAAGGCGAGGCCGAAAGGCGUAGUCGAUGGGAAACAGGUUAAUAUUCCUGUACUUGGUGUUACUGCGAAGGGGGGACGGAGAAGGCUAUGUUGGCCGGGCGACGGUUGUCCCGGUUUAAGCGUGUAGGCUGGUUUUCCAGGCAAAUCCGGAAAAUCAAGGCUGAGGCGUGAUGACGAGGCACUACGGUGCUGAAGCGACAAAUGCCCUGCUUCCAGGAAAAGCCUCUAAGCAUCAGGUAACAUCAAAUCGUACCCCAAACCGACACAGGUGGUCAGGUAGAGAAUACCAAGGCGCUUGAGAGAACUCGGGUGAAGGAACUAGGCAAAAUGGUGCCGUAACUUCGGGAGAAGGCACGCUGAUAUGUAGGUGAAGCGACUUGCUCGUGGAGCUGAAAUCAGUCGAAGAUACCAGCUGGCUGCAACUGUUUAUUAAAAACACAGCACUGUGCAAACACGAAAGUGGACGUAUACGGUGUGACGCCUGCCCGGUGCCGGAAGGUUAAUUGAUGGGGUUAGCGGUAACGCGAAGCUCUUGAUCGAAGCCCCGGUAAACGGCGGCCGUAACUAUAACGGUCCUAAGGUAGCGAAAUUCCUUGUCGGGUAAGUUCCGACCUGCACGAAUGGCGUAAUGAUGGCCAGGCUGUCUCCACCCGAGACUCAGUGAAAUUGAACUCGCUGUGAAGAUGCAGUGUACCCGCGGCAAGACGGAAAGACCCCGUGAACCUUUACUAUAGCUUGACACUGAACAUUGAGCCUUGAUGUGUAGGAUAGGUGGGAGGCUUUGAAGUGUGGACGCCAGUCUGCAUGGAGCCGACCUUGAAAUACCACCCUUUAAUGUUUGAUGUUCUAACGUGGGCCCCUUACCGGGGUUGCGGACAGUGUCUGGUGGGUAGUUUGACUGGGGCGGUCUCCUCCUAAAGAGUAACGGAGGAGCACGAAGGUUGGCUAAUCCUGGUCGGACAUCAGGAGGUUAGUGCAAUGGCAUAAGCCAGCUUGACUGCGAGCGUGACGGCGCGAGCAGGUGCGAAAGCAGGUCAUAGUGAUCCGGUGGUUCUGAAUGGAAGGGCCAUCGCUCAACGGAUAAAAGGUACUCCGGGGAUAACAGGCUGAUACCGCCCAAGAGUUCAUAUCGACGGCGGUGUUUGGCACCUCGAUGUCGGCUCAUCACAUCCUGGGGCUGAAGUAGGUCCCAAGGGUAUGGCUGUUCGCCAUUUAAAGUGGUACGCGAGCUGGGUUUAGAACGUCGUGAGACAGUUCGGUCCCUAUCUGCCGUGGGCGCUGGAGAACUGAGGGGGGCUGCUCCUAGUACGAGAGGACCGGAGUGGACGCAUCACUGGUGUUCGGGUUGUCAUGCCAAUGGCACUGCCCGGUAGCUAAAUGCGGAAGAGAUAAGUGCUGAAAGCAUCUAAGCACGAAACUUGCCCCGAGAUGAGUUCUCCCUGACUCCUUGA
rnacentral:rRNA from 4 species